rnacentral:lncRNA from 1 species
CUCCCAAUAUUCUUGCACUAAACCUUCUUUCUUAAGAUCCAACAACAUUGUCGUAAGGAUUAUGGUUAUGGAUGAUUGAAAAUGUCGAAUUAGAAUGUUCCUAAACAUCAUCCAAGAUUGGUUUUGAACUCAAGUAUCCCACCACAUAAAACACUAUAUCUCAAUCCAGUUAACAUAAUCAUUGAAAUCAAUUCAAAUGGACAAAGGAAUUUCUAAUUUCCUCCAAUAUUCUUCUCUUGAGUGGG